UUCAGUUUACUCAGCCCGUCCUCAUAUAACAAGACCAAAUAGGUUGAAAAUGUAGGCAGCUUAUCGCAACCCAUGUUUCUUUUUAAGCAGCUUUAGUACAGUUACUUCAGCAAGAGAAGAAGUAAAGUAAUAUAAAGAGCGAAAGGUUGUGAUGGACUGAUGGGUUCAACGAGCGAAGGACUUUCAUUCAGGAGACUGCUGUUAAAUGUCCAGAGUGAAGCCAGAGGCAAAUGCUCUAUCUGUCCUUUGAUUCCAGGGUGAGACGGCUGCAUUUCAACGCGGCAGCUAAAAUUGCAGCGGUUGACUAAAUAUGGAUGUGCAGCCGCGACAUUAAAGAGGGAGACAUAAUUGAAGAACAUAACUACAGGACAUCCCAGAAUAAGGGGCCCGCUCCUCAUCAGUCAUCAUACCUAAACCCUGCAGAUUACAGACCCACACAGAAAAUCCCAGAGAAGGAGAAGGACCAUGGUCAUUAUUUUUCUAUCAGCUGCGACGUAUCGGGAGGAGGGGCC